rnacentral:rRNA from 1 species
GACGAACGCUGGCGGCGUGCUUAACACAUGCGAGUCGAACGGAAAGGCCCUGCUUUUGUGGGGUGCUCGAGUGGCGAACGGGUGAGUAACAAGUGAGUAACCUGCUCUCGACUUUGGGAUAACUUCUGGAAACUGGGGCUACUACCGGCUCGGAGCUCCUGCUGCCUGGUGGGGGUUGGAAAGUUUCGGCGGUUGGGGAUGGACUCGCGGCUUAUCAGCUUGUUGGUGGGGUAGUGGCUUACCACGUCUUUGACGGGUAGCCGGCCUUGGAGGGUGACCGGCCACAUUGGGACUGAGAGACGGCCCAGACUCCUACGGGAGGCAGCAGUGGGGAAUAUUACGCAAUGGGCGGAAGCCUAAUGCAGCAACGCCGCGGGCGGGAUGACGGCCUUCGGGUUGUAAACCGCGUACGCCUGAGACGAAGCGUGAUUGACGUUAAUGGGUAAAGAAGCACCGGCUAACUACGUG